AGGAGCACCGCUGGGUAGCUAUGUACGGACGGGAUAAGCGCUGAAAGCAUCUAAGCGUGAAGCCCCCCUCAAGAUGAGAUUUCCCAACUAGUAAGACCCCUUGAAGACGACGAGGUAGAUAGGCUGGGGGUGGAAGUGCAGCAAUGCAUGGAGCUGACCAGUACUAAUCGGUCGAGGGCUUAUCCAA
rnacentral:rRNA from 1 species